rnacentral:rRNA from 1 species
UGGGGAAUUUUGGACAAUGGGCGAAAGCCUGAUCCAGCAAUGCCGCGUGUGUGAAGAAGGCCUUCGGGUUGUAAAGCACUUUUGUCCGGAAAGAAAUCCUUGGCUCUAAUACAGUCGGGGGAUGACGGUACCGGAAGAAUAAGCACCGGCUAACUACGUGCCAGCAGCCGCGGUAAUACGUAGGGUGCAAGCGUUAAUCGGAAUUACUGGGCGUAAAGCGUGCGCAGGCGGUUUGCUAAGACCGAUGUGAAAUCCCCGGGCUCAACCUGGGAACUGCAUUGGUGACUGGCAGGCUAGAGUAUGGCAGAGGGGGGUAAAAUUCCACGUGUAGCAGUGAAAUGCGUAGAGAUGUGGAGGAAUACCGAUGGCGAAGGCAGCCCCCUGGGCCAAUACUGACGCUCAUGCACGAAAGCGUGGGGAGCAAACAGGAUUAGAUACCCUGGUAGUCCACGCCCUAAACGAUGUCAACUAGUUGUUGGGGAUUCAUUUUCCUUAGUAACGUAGCUAACGCGUGAAGUUGACCGCCUGGGGAGUACGGUCGCAAGA